CGCAUUCUUCAUGGUAUCCACUUGCGUUCCAUUGCUCAUGAAGACACAAAAUAAUACUCCAGUUGUAACUUUAUUGAAGCUAUAUGUUAAUGAUGUUGCACUGCCUAGGGGUUCCACUAGAUGUCAACCAUCUAUAGAAAUUUGAAUGAGACCUCUGCUGUGUUGUGGGAGUGAAUGAGAGCAGAAUCAAUCAUGUGUCUGGCAGUCAGCCAUUUUCUGAUCAUGCGCAUUCUUCAUGGUAUCCACUUGCGUUCCAUAGCUCAUGAAGACACAAAAUAAUACUCCAGUUGUAACUUUAUUGAAGCUAUAUGUUAAUGAUGUUGCACUGCCUAGGGGUUCCACUAGAUGUCAACCAUCUAUAGAAAUUUGAAUGAGACUUCUACUGUGUUGUGGGACUCAAUGAGAGCAGAAUUUAUCAGGUUGCAGUCAGCCAUUUUCUGAUCACGUGCAUUCCUCAUGGUAUCCACUUGCAUUCCAUUGCUCAUCAAGACACAAAGGAAUACUCCGGUUGGAACUUUAUUGAAGCUAUAUGUUAACAUCCUAAUGAUUGAUUCUGUACAUAGUUUGAAAUGUUUCUUCGACCUGUAAUAUAACUUUUUGAAGUUUUUGUCCGACAUAACGGUGACCAGAAUGAGCGUUUGGAUAUGUAUACCAAAACGUGCUAACAAAAGAAGGUAUUUGGACAUAAAUAACGGACAUUAUCGAACAAAACAAACAUUUAUUGUGGACCUGGGAUUCCUGGAGUGCUUUCUGAUGUAGAUCAUCAAAGGUGGAACUGGCAGAGGGUGUUAAACUCCAGGUGAACAUUAUCACUCGACUGAGCAAGGAACCAUCAAAGCUCAUGACAGCUCUGUUUCCCAGAGAGGUGAUGGCCGUCUCUUCGUUGACAGGAAAACAUUUGAAUGUAUUCUGGGACCAGGAGGCACAGAAAAAAGCUGUGCCCAACCAAAGUGCCAUUUGCACCUUUUAUUUAGGCAAAACCAGAUGGAGGAGAAGGAUGUCUUUAAAAUAUAUUAAUUAAAGCUUGAAUCGAAAUUGCUUAAGAAGUUCAAGAUUUAGGUUUAAAACGGCUUUUUUUUACUCAAAGGGAGUAACUUGGAGGCUAAGGCCUAACUUUUGAUUCGUUA
ensembl:lncRNA